AGCUUAGGAUUUUUUCAUUCCCUUCCUGUGCUGAAAAAAAUUGGGUGCUGCCUCUGAAGAUCUGUGGCUUUUGUGCAGGGUGAACAUGUGCUCAAGUACACACAUGGACCACGGCCGAGGGUUAUGCAACGAGAUCUUCCAAGUACGGCUGGCUCACACACAAGGCCCUGAUGUGGCAACUUCAGCUCUCAUCGCAGGUAAGCUGAGCAUGAGCUUGAAAAGCCAGAGUUGUGGUUCAGUGUGGCCUGCCGGCCAACUUUGAUUUCUGCUUCAAAAUGUUCCCUUAAACCCUAGGUUUGGGUCCAAAAGACCUAAGAGAAUUCUGUUUCACAGAGGCACUCCCUACCACACUCAUGGGGUACUGGAGAUAAGCAGUUUUUUUUUUUAAAUAAUGAUUUUAUUUUUUCCAUUAUAGCUGGUUUACAGUGUUCUAUCAAUUUUCUGCUGUACGGCAAGGUGACCCAGUCACACAUACAUUCUUUUUUCUCACAUUAUCUUGCUCCAUCAUAAGUGACUGGAUAUAGCUCCCAGUGUUAUACAGCAGGAUCUCAUUGCUUAUCUGCUCCAAAAGCAAUAGUUUGCAUCUAUUAACCUCAAAUUCCCAGUCCAUCCCACUCCGUCCCCCUCCCCCUUGGCAACCACAAGUCAGUUUUCCAAGUCCAUGUCUUUUUUUUCUGAGGAAAGUUUCGUGUGUACCAUAUAUUAGAUUCCAAAUGUAAGUGAUAUCAUAUGGUAUUUGUCUUUCUUUUUCUGACUUACUUCACUUAGUAUGAGAGUCUUUAGUUCCAUCCAUGUUGCUGCAGAUGGCAAAUGGCAUUAUUUUGUUCUUUUUAUGUCUGAGCAGUAUUCCAUUGUAUAUAUAUAUCACACCUUCUUAAUCCAUUCAUCUGUCAGUGGACAUUUAGGUUGUUUCCAUGUCUUGGCUAUUGUGAAUAGUGCUGCAGUGAACAUGCGUGUGCAUGUGUCUUUUUCAGGGAAAGUUUUGUCCUGAUAUAUGCCCAAGAGUGGGAUUGCUGGAUCAUAUGGUAGUUCUAUAUGUAGUUUUCUAAGACACCUCCAUUCUGUUUUCCAUAGUGGUUGUACCAAUUUACAUUCCCACCAGCAGUGCAGGAAGGUUCCCUUUUCUCUACACCCUCUCCAGCAUUUGUAAUUAGUGGACUUAUUAAUGAUGGCCAUUCUGACAGGUGCGAGGUGGUAUCUCAUAAUAGUUUUGAUUUGCAUUUUUCUAAUAAUCAGUGAUGUCGAGCAUUUUUUCAUGUGCUUAUUGGCCAUCUGUAUAUCUUCUUUGGAGAAAUGUCUAUUCAGGUCUUCUUGCCCAUUUUUCCAUUGGGUUGUUGGCUUUUUGCUGUUGAGUUGUAUAACUUGUUUGUGUAUUUUAGAGAUUAAGUCCUUGUCAGUUGCAUCAUUUGAAACUAUUUUCUCCCAUUCUGUAAGUUGUCCUUUUUGUUUUUGUUUUUGAUGAUUUCCUUUGCUAUGCAAAAGCUUGCCAGUUUGAUUGGGUCCCAUUGGCUUAUUUUUGCUUUUAUUUCUAUUGCCUUGAGAGAAUGACCUGAGAACACAUCUGUAAGGUUGAUGUCAGAGAAUGUUUUGCCUCUGUUCUCUUCUAGGAGUUUGCUGGUGUCUUGUGAUAAGUAGUUUUUAUCUUGCCCAUGGUGGGGGGCAGUAGCUAUUGCAGCAGAGACCUGGGCUGGUCAAAGUGUUCACAAUCUUGUGGUUUUAUUAACCAAGUGGCUUGGCCACACCAGUGCCACUUCUAGACAGCGUAAUAGACCCUGCUGUGGCACAAUAAUCUAUUUCUUAUGGGUUUUUUUAAAAACUGUGUUUCUGGUUGUUCUUGGGGAAAUUGACUAUCUAGAAAACUUAUUUAACCAUAUAGUAGGAUUUUCCGUCAUGGCUCCGCAGAAAUGAAUCUGACUGGCAUCCAUGAGGAUGCAGGUUCGAUCCCUGGCCUUGCUCACUGGGUUAAGGAUCCGGUGUUGCUGUGAGCUGUGGUGUAGGCCGGUAGCUGCAGCUCUGAUUGGACCCCUAGCCUGGGAAUCUCCAUAUGCCGCAGGUGUGGCCCUAAAAAGACAAACAAACAAACAUAUAGUGUAAUAGUUUGGACUGAAAGGAAUUUUGGAUCUCUCACCUUUCCAGACAAGGUAACGGCAGCCUAGGACGGUGAGGCGUCUUAUCCGGGGCAGACAGGGGGUUGCUCUCAGAGCUGUCUAACAGCCUUGGGUGACUUCCAUGGUGGUUCUCCUGUUCCCAGUCAUACUGCCUUUAGUUAUUGAAAGGAGGUAGCAAAGUGGUGACAUGAUGACUUUUUUAAAGCUAAUAGUCCAUAUUUAAAAAUUGGGAGAUUAAACAUAAGAAUCUGGACUCCAGAGUUUCUGUUGUGGCUCAGUGGUAAUGAACCCGACUAGUAGCCAUGAGAUGAGGCUUGGAUCUGGCCACAGCCACAGCUCCAAUUUAACCCCUAGCCUGGGAAAUUCCGUAUGCCACACAUGCAGGCCUAAAGAGAAAAAAUAAAUAAAUAAAUAAAAAGAAGAAAUGGGACCUUUCUCUCCCUUUGCCCCAUAGAAUCCCACUGUGGCGCAAUGGGUAUGGUGGCAUCUCUGGAGCGCUGGGACACAGGUUUGAUCCCUGACCAGGCACACUAGGUUAAAGGACCUGGCAUUGCUGCAGCUGUGACAUAGGUUACAACUGCGGCUCAGAUUUGAUCCCUGGCCCAG
rnacentral:lncRNA from 1 species